rnacentral:lncRNA from 1 species
UUGUCUUGAUGACAAACCAAGGACAAAAGCUCAGCCCCAAGCAUUCCAGAAGGGGCCUGCCUCCUCUGGAGGAUGGAGGGGGCCAUCCUGCCCUGGCCUCGGCUGGGGGAGUGGGUGGUGUCCAGGGCACGUUUUUAUGGGGGGUGGAGACAGUGUGGAGAGAGGGAGCAGCUGAGCUGGGGCUUCCAGAACCCAAACCAAGUCAGCAGCCCCCAGCCCCAGCUCCAGCCCCAGCCCCAGCCCCGGCCUCCCCUGUCUGAGGUGUCUGGGUUUAAUUUUCUGGUCAGUGCAGAAAGCAGGAGGAAGAGGACGAGGAGGAGGAGAAGAAAGGAGCGAGUUGAAGUUCUAAUGCAGUCGGCUGGGAUCUGUCACUCAGCGCACAGCCCGCUGACGACUCAGGGCAGCCCCAGCUGUAAGCAGCCCAUGAUUUAUGGACACCGAGUGAACUCCUGCGGCAGAAACCAGCCUUGAGAUCAGAGCGGCAAUAGGGCCCUUUUUUUGGCAGGAGACAGGGCCUGCAUUUUUCUCAUUCAUGCCAAACUGCUUUGCACGGCAAUUAGCUCUGUCCUCAUUUAGUCUCCAGUCCCAAAGGGUAAUGAAAGUCAUAUAUCAUCUUCAAGACUGCUAAUUAUUGAGCUCGCUUACAGUUGUUUUUUUGUGAAGAGAUUGCUCCGAUACAAGCUAAUAAUCCAUCAUAUCCAGAAGCAAAACAAAGAGCAUGGACUUCGGAGACAGACUUCCAGGAAUCGGAUCUCAGUUCCAUCAUUUACUUGUCCUGUGAUCAUGAGCAAGGCAGCUCAGUCCCGCUGCUCAAGUUGGGGAGACAAAAGGGAGCGGUGCGCACUGCGGGGAUCCGCGCCAGGAUAGAGGGUCCCUCCACCCCGCGCCUCGGCGGAGCAGAGCUUGAAACCCAGAACCUCAGACGGCGUCCACCUGGUCGCCCCAACGAGGCCGAGAAUGGGAGCCCAGAUCCUGACCUGGCCGGAUUGGUAGGGGCUUCUGGAUCCCGGGCCCCGGUGCUCUGUCCCGCGGCGCAGACGGGGAUAGACUGCAGACUGCGGAGAAAUCGGGACGUGGAAAAGCAGCCGCGGCGCCAGCCAGCCGCGGGUCCGGCCUCUGGAGAGAGGAAGCAGCCGGGCGGGGAGGGGGUUGCCUGGAGGGGUAGGCUGGUGGCUGCCUCUGGCCCUCGGCAGCCAGAAGAAGAAGCGAAGAGCAAAACUCCUUUUCUCCCUAGGGACAAGAGGGCUCCGGCGCGCUCUCCUCCCCAGGCCUGGGAAACAGGUUCUCAAGCGCCCUCCGACCUCCAAUCGAUCCCAGUCUCCCGCCUGCGACAGGGGAUGCUUGGAGAGCGAGGAGAGGGACGCGGGGAGCGGCACCUCCCCCAGGCCGAGGCUGGGCGGCCGAGUCCCGACCUGCGCCGCUCUGAGCAAAACGAAACUCAAACUCCCAAAAUUCUCGACAGGGGAAUUUUAAAAAUUCCCCACCCCCCUUUCCUUUCACUUUUAACAAACCAGCAGCUGGGGGAAAAAUUAAACGAAAUGAGCGAUAGCUAAGGACGCUAUCUUUCCAAACUGUGAAACCCCUUUAAAAAAUAUUUUCGAAGGCCAGCCCCACAACUGGCCAGCUCUUCUGAAGCCUAUGCCUCUUCCUGAAAAUCACAUCAAAACAGUCGGAAAUGCGGCCAAGGUCCUGGGAUGGAGUAGCCGAGAGGCCCAGAGAACCCGCUGCUGCUGAAACCGCCAUGCUCUUCUUUCUCUUUAACCAAAAAAUAAAAAAGAUAAUAAUAAGAAGUAAAACCUUUUA